rnacentral:rRNA from 1 species
AUUGAACGCUGGCGGCAUGCCUUACACAUGCAAGUCGAACGGCAGCGCGGGGCAACCUGGCGGCGAGUGGCGAACGGGUGAGUAACAUAUCGGAACAUACCCUAGAGUGGGGGAUAACGUAGCGAAAGUUACGCUAAUACCGCAUACGCACUAAGGUGGAAAGUGGGGGAUUCGCAAGAACCUCAUGCUCAUGGAGUGGCCGAUAUCUGAUUAGCUAGUUGGUGAGGUAAAGGCUCACCAAGGCGACGAUCAGUAGCUGGUUUGAGAGAACGACCAGCCACACUGGAACUGAGACACGGUCCAGACUCCUACGGGAGGCAGCAGUGGGGAAUUUUGGACAAUGGGGGCAACCCUGAUCCAGCAAUGCCGCGUGAGUGAAGAAGGCCUCGGUGUAAGCUCUUUGUCUAGGGAAGGAAACGGUAGAGUUC